CACGUAGGGGGCGAGCGUUGUCCGGAUUUAUUGGGCGUAAAGAGCUCGUAGGCGGCUCAGUAAGUCAGGUGUGAAAACUCCAGGCUCAACCUGGAGACGCCAUCUGAUACUGCUGUGGCUAGAGUCCGGUAGGGGAGCAUGGAAUUCCUGGUGUAGCGGUGAAAUGCGCAGAUAUCAGGAGGAACACCAGUGGCGAAGGCGGUGCUCUGGGCCGGUACUGACGCUGAGGUGCGAAAGCGUGGGGAGCAAACAGG
rnacentral:rRNA from 1 species